rfam:Allochromatium vinosum DSM 180, complete genome.
CCUGGCGGCCAUAGAGACUUGGAACCACCUGAUCCCGUCCCGAACUCAGACGUGAAACAGGUCUUCGCCGAUCCUAGUGUGGGGCCUCCCCAUGCGAACCUAGGGCACCGCCAGGG